rnacentral:rRNA from 1 species
UACGGAGGGGACUAGCGUUGUUCGGAAUUACUGGGCGUAAAGCGCACGUAGGCGGAUUUGUAAGUCAGGGGUGAAAGCCUGGAGCUCAACUCCAGAACUGCCUUUGAGACUGCAUCGCUUGAAUCCGGGAGAGGUGAGUGGAAUUCCGAGUGUAGAGGUGAAAUUCGUAGAUAUUCGGAAGAACACCAGUGGCGAAGGCGGCUCACUGGACCGGUAUUGACGCUGAGGUGCGAAAGCGUGGGGAGCAAACAGG